UCGGCUCCGGUUCACGCUCCCGCAAAUCCGCGUCUGCGACCCGGCGCC
rnacentral:ncRNA from 1 species